GCGCCGGUGGUGUAAUGGCGAAUGUUCCCGCUCGCUCAGCAGGUGCGAGUCAAAAGUGCGAGUUCAAGUCCCGCCCGGCGCU
rnacentral:tRNA from 1 species